GUCGGUCGUCACCUCCCGCUCACUGAUGAUCGCCCCCUGCAAGACCCUGUCUAAGCAGAUGGGGAUGCCUGCGAUCGCUCCUCCGGCGGGACCAGACGAGACAAGGGUCCGCUCCCCCGAGCCCGUCGCCAAUCUGGACGCCGCGCUGCGGGAUGAUCCCAUCAAUCAGGAGCGUCCCCCUUCUCCGCCUCCCGUGAGUGCGGGCCUCGGAUAGACAAGGGACGGCUCUCCCGAUCUCUCGGCCGGGCGGGAGGCUUCCCCUGCGGCUGGAAACUUGGACGCAGAGUGCGCCGCGCCCCCGCCUCCCAAUGAUGUUAUCGAACUCGACUCGCCCGAGGACCGGGAUGCCGAGGCGUUCGCAGAGACCCUGACCUCUGACGUCGACGUCGCGCUUCCGGAUGCGGGGGCAGAGUCGGCCGAUGAGGAGAGGGGUCCUUCCGCCGAGGAGGCCGCGGCGACGGGUUCCGGGGACGCCCUACCCGACUCUAGGGCUGGCCGUGCUCCAGAGGCCGAUGUCAACGCUCCAGUCCCGAAUCCUGUGGCAGGCUCCGAGCCGCCCUUGGAACCCGCCGCCCUGACGUUCGAUCCCCAGGUGGGGUGCCUCGCCUACCCCGAAUGUCUCCGCUCCAUCCCCAGCUCAUGAGAUGGGCCCGGUGUCUAAGGACGACGCCGCCUCGUUGCUCACAGGCCCCGUGUCAAUAGCGGCGGGGCCAUUGACAACAGCCCUGCCGGUCUGGACUCCUUCGGCGACGGCGGCGUUCGCUACCGAUGCGGGCGCCCAGACUUCGAGAGCCGUGAGAGCGACGGCGGGGCCCGGUGCGUCCAUUAUAAGCAGCGAGGAGGUCCUCAACCAUUUCGCAGCUGAAGUAAUAGCGCAAGGAGGGAAGGGCGUGAGUUUUGAUCUCGCCAAGCGGAACUUCAGGCGUCGGGAGCUCGAUUUUGGGCGGCUUCGCAAAGUGGUGAUAGAUGUGGUCAUAGUGAUGCACGGCCUCUUGGGCCCGUCGAUCGUGGAGAUGGAGCUUCGGGACGAGGAGCGUCUAGCCCUGCGGGCGCGAGACCGAACACUCCUGGAGGCACGCCAGACCGUGGAAGAGGAAUUGGCCUCAACCUGCCAAGCCCUUGAGGACGAACGCGUGCCCAGGGUAGCGAAUCACGACGAGGCCAACUGGAUUCUGAAUUAGACGCUUGCCCGGUCCUCCUCCGUCGCCUCGGAGCUCUAGCAGCUUCGAAGGGACAGCAACGAGCUGCGCGUCGGGCUUGAGGUGGCGGAACAGGCGCGCGACUUGGCCAUCCAGGAGCGUGACGUCGCGAUCCAGGAGCGCGACGCGGUGACCCAAGGACACGACAUCGCACUAUCAACUGCGGAGGAGGCGUCGGAGCGGGAGAAGACCACGCUCUCGAGCUUGCAGAACGCCCGCAAUGAGUUCGAGGACCUACGCCAGGAGCUCGCCCGCAUCGACUGCCAGAGGAAAGAAGCAUAAGCGGCAGUGGCCUCGUUGACCGUCGAUGUUGCCAUCCACCGUGCCACAUAGCAGAGAUUUGAGGGAACCGUUGUGCGACUCCAGAAUGAGACAGUCGGUGUGUCAUUUUAUCGCGCAAUCCCCUUUUCGGCUUCCUCUUGGAGAAUUGCAAAAGUGAGUGAGUUAAGUUUCUUUAGCAGCCGCAAACUCCCUGUGCCGAGAAGCGGAGUUGAAAUUGUUGGAGAUGAAAGAGGCGCUUGAACUCCAAGUGACUGGCUCCGACAACCUUCGCCUCAUGGUGGGGCUCGUGUUGGACGAUCUCGGCGUAGAGGCCGCCGUCGCACCGGGUCAGCUUGUCAGCCAACACCUCGAGGGUGUGGAUGGACUGAAGCAGGAGGCCCAGGCCCACCGUCAAGAGGUCGAGGUCGUGCGCCGUGUACACUGGGGUGCAUCACGCCUUCGCCGUUGCGCGCAGCCAUUACGUCAACAUCGACCUGGAGGAGCUGAGUAAAGGGUACCUGGGGGACUAUGCUGACGCCGAGUUGUAUGCCUUCGAGGAGGAAACCGCCCCAUUCGCCCGGAACCUGACCGACAAGAUGCUGGAGGACAAUGAAGAUUAGUAGUUGGGUUAUCGGGGUUUGGUCCAUGUUUUGUUUUUUAUCGCAACUUUUGUCUUGCGGAUGCUUUGAACACUUUGCUUGGUGAUAAGUUCGGAAGGGUUUUCCGAUAAA